UCUAGCCCUAACUAUUGUAUGAUUCUAUGAGAUAGGGCAAUCCUUAUUUUGUUGUGUACUGGCUGCAGUGCUGCCAUUAUUAAAAACAAAGAAAAUAAAAAUGUAACACAUAAUAUAUCUCUGUAUUUAACUCAUUCCGGAUGAAGAUAAAGGAUUUGGGUCCAACAUUUAAUGGCAAGGGGUUUUCUAGAGAUUUUCAUCAAAAUCAGAUGUGCAGCACCUCCAUGUUAUUGUUACGGCAGUGUUGAAUUUUGGCUGACACUUAGCUGUCAUAUUUAAAGUCAGAAAAGAAUCUUGUAUUUCGAAGGCAAUAGUGAAUUCUUUCAAAAUUUGGGAAAGUAUUUUUGUAGUUGCAUUCCAGGUAGUUGGUAGAUUAUCACAAAAACUAGGACAUUUUAUCAUUGCAUUCUUAUAAUUUGUAAAAAUUUAUCAAGUUUAACAUACUUCUUGAGACAGCAGCUGUAUCUAACUGCUGGAUGCAUACCUUUAACACAGUAAAUCUCGCAAGGUGUUUUUCCUUUAAUGUAAAAUUCUGGUAGAAAAACGCUUAAUUUUCCUUUUAUUGUCAUAAAAAUACGAUAUUAGCAGAUUAGUACCAUACAGUUAUUCUAGCUGUUGAGCUAAAUGAAAGUAUUUUAAUCUGGUUUAAACUUCAGUGGUAGCCAAGGGCAUCAGAAGAGAAGAGACGUUGUUUUGAGAAGAGUCAGACUAAUGUGAGUAUUUAUGAAUUUAAUUUACUAAUUCAUUGGUAUAAUAAAAUAGAAUAGGUAAGAUUACGUGCAGAUUGAACUGUGACUGUAAAAUGAUAAUUUUUUUGGCAUUUUGACAUACAUCAUUUGUGUAAUGUUCGUGUGUUGUGACAAAGGAGCUUUGCUGAGGUAGAGGCAGCUGUUAUUAUUGGUGCAUUGAGAUAAUUUCUAUUCAUACCAUUGUGUAUUUGGAGUACAUUACCUGGCAAGAUAGGCUGUUUUCUGCACCUCAUUGAAAAUGCAGCGAGUUCACUGUUCAGCUUAUUAAAUUGUUGAGUAAGAUCACCUAGUGGGAUGUCUGACAAUACUGAAUCAAAAGCUACAGUCUACAAAGAAACAAAGAACAAGCUCCAAAAUUUCAGCAGCUUAAGGAGCUUGGACAGAAUGUAUUCAUGUGACACUAGCAUGGUACUGAAGGAGAAGGCAAUUGGGACAGUGGGAUUCAUGUCAACUCCGACAGUGAAAGUCUUCCUCAAAGCCUCAACAUUUCUUUGCUACUUGCAGUUGCAGCCAUUGCAGGUCAUCCCAGAAAUAUCCUCUUCCAGCAGCUGACACUUGUUUAAUUAAUCCAGAAAUGGAGUUGCACCAGCAAAGCCGAUCCAAGAGCACUUCUUCCAGAAGCAGCUGGUCAUUGUCGUUUUUCUUGUCCUUUGGUGCAGCUGUAUGCAGACUAGCUGGUGCCUUUGCCAAAACUGUAGCAAUGCUUCUCAGUAUAUCAAGGUUGGCGUAGAAAAACUGAAGGUCUCAGGCAACAAGAUGUCAAAUACAUAUUGAAAAGAAACUCUACUUCUGGCGGUUUGUGAAAAAUGCAUCUCCCAGAGGCAGUGUUACAUGCACACAAACAUGUACUUCAGUUCCCAGGGGCACCUGCCAGAACCCUGUGGAUGCAUUUGGUAUUUCUAUAUCUAUAUUUUUAAAAGGAAAAAAGAGAAUAUUUGUUAUCAGCUUUCUCUCCAAUAGUUUUUGUCUUUGCUGGUUAAGCACAGUGUUUUCCCUUUAUAUACUUCAUCUGGGCGUUUUUCAGUUCUGCACUUCUGAUAGUUUCCAUCUCUUGGAUGAGAUCUUUAAACUCUCUGAUUAUUUUAUUCUUUUGCCCCUGCUAUGGUAUAUAUAUCUCUUGGUGAGACUAAUGUGUUAAAUAUUUUUGACUUUGGUACAAGAUAUUCUUCCCCCUUCUAUCUCUCAUCAGCCUUACACAUUGUUUCCAAUUAUUUACUCUUUACCUCAUAUAUUUCUUUGAGAAACUGAAUAUCACUAUUCUAAAUCUGUUCAAUUCUACUGCCAGUUACUAGUCUUACAGUGCUUUUUUUUUUUUCCCCUGAUGUCAAGGUACUUCAAAAUAUUUCUAUUUCUUCUCAUUUUAGGUGCCCAUUAAAUUCAACUGCAGUAUUACCCGUUUUAGCGAUUCUUUAGAGCUGUCUAUACUGUACGGAGUUUGCUCAUAUCUGCAAAUGGCAACAAAGUAGGGUCAUUAAUUUUGUACCUUUUUCUGAAUUUUAAGGCACAGUCUUGGUUUGACAUGUAUCGCACAGCACAUGUUUCCGGUUGCUGUUCAUAUGUAGCUUAUGUUUUUGCAUGCCGUUACCCUCUCUCCUGUGCAGAACUUUGCAUUUGUCUUUAUUGAAGUUCAGGAAGUUCUUGUUAGUCUUUUUCUGACAGGCUGUGAUGCCAGUUAGUAGCAGUCCUGUUACCCAGUGUAUAUACCACUUCCUCAAAUGAUGAAGGUGCAUUUCAUGCCAUUCACCAGGUCAUUAAUGAAAAUAUUGCCUGUUAAACUCAGAACCAUUAACUGCUGUUUUUUGCUGUUUUUGCAGACAGUGCAAUCAGUUUUCCAUUCUUUCAUAUAGACUGUAUCUCUCCAGCUUGCCUACUAGGAUACCAAAGGAGCCAGUGUCAAAA